CAAGUCGAGCGGCAGCGCGGGGCAACCUGGCGGCGAGCGGCGAACGGGUGAGUAAUGCAUCGGAACAUGUCCAAGUCGUGGGGGAUAGCCCGGCGAAAGCCGGAUUAAUACCGCAUGUGCCCGAGAGGGGAAAGUGGGGGACCGCAAGGCCUCACGCGAUUGGGUUGGCCGAUGUCCGAUUAGCUAGUUGGCGGGGUAAGAGCCCACCAAGGCGAUGAUCGGUAGCUGGUCUGAGAGGAUGAUCAGCCACACUGGGACUGAGACACGGCCCAGACUCCUACGGGAGGCAGCAGUGGGGAAUUUUGGACAAUGGGGGCAACCCUGAUCCAGCCAUUCCGCGUGAGUGAAGAAGGCCUUCGGGUUGUAAAGCUCUUUUGUCCGGAACGAAACGGUUACGGUGAAUAUCCGUGGCUAAUGACGGUACCGGAAGAAUAAGCACCGGCUAACUACGUGCCAGCAGCCGCGGUAAUACGUAGGGUGCGAGCGUUAAUCGGAAUUACUGGGCGUAAAGCGUGCGCAGGCGGUUUUGUAAGCCAGAUGUGAAAUCCCCGGGCUUAACCUGGGAAUGGCAUUUGGGACUGCAAGGCUGGAGUGCGGCAGAGGAGACUGGAAUUCCUGGUGUAGCAGUGAAAUGCGUAGAUAUCAGGAGGAAUACCGAUGGCGAAGGCAGGUCUCUGGGCUGACACUGACGCUCAUGCACGAAAGCGUGGGGAGCAAACAGGAUUAGAUACCCUGGUAGUCCACGCCCUAAACGAUGUCGACUGGUUGUUGGGGGUUUGACACUCUCAGUAACGAAGCUAACGCGUGAAGUCGACCGCCUGGGGAGUACGGCCGCAAGGUUAAAACUCA
rnacentral:rRNA from 1 species